UGGAUUGUAGCUCAGGGGUAGAGUGCUUGCCUAGCAUGUAUGAGGCCCUGGGUUUAAUUCUCAGCACUGCAG
rnacentral:tRNA from 1 species